rnacentral:lncRNA from 1 species
GACGCCGCCAGCUGAUCGGAGCCUGGAGCCGGUGUGUGCUGGGUGCCGAGAAGAGACAGCGCCGCCGGCCGUGGGGAGCGGACGCAGUGAUUUGCUCCCCCUCGUGCAGCAACCCCCACACCCAGCACCAGGAGCCUGUUCCUCUCACGCCCUCACCUGGCUGAGCCGCAGUAGUUCUUCAGUGGCAAGCUUUAUGUCCUGACCCAGCUAAAGCUGCCAGUUGAAGAACUGUUGCCCUCUGCCCCUGGCUUCGAGGAGGAGGAGGAGCUGCUUUCCCCAUCAUCUGGAAGGAAGCUGUGUCUGUUCGAUUUGGUGGGAGGAGAUGUGCAGGGAGCUGUAUCUUGUCCUCCGCUUGUGAAAAACUCAAGGAUGUGGAGAAGAGUAGACCGUGGAACCCUGCUCUUCUGCAGCCAAGCUGAGGGGCAGGAUGCGUGUGGGACAGUGGUAGAGAAGCAGGGGAUAGACUCAUAGGCUGCAACAAAGGUGACUCUGUCCCUGGACACUGCCUCCGUACUUUCUCCUUGCUUCACUGGCCACAGCAUCUCCCUCCAGCCCUCGCUAUGUGCCUCUGCCAUCUUCACCCAUCAUGGAGCAGAGGUGAGGAGAGGCAGCCUGGGAAUAUGGAGACCAGUGAAGGACCAGGCCUGGAGAGCACAGGGUCCUACCUGGGCAUCCAGCAGAGGAGCCCCUAAAGGCCAGGAGCACCCCAAGAGGAGGGAGGGCAGCCAGCCUCCAUUGACGGCGAGCCUCCAGCCCUCUCCUACUUUGAUCACCAUUUCUCUCCAGGCUUUCUGCCUCCGAGAUGUGGCACCAUAGUGCGGUGCCCUGUGGCUUCACCGCCCUACUUCCACCUCCGCCCAGCCUGUAAUGUUUAUAUAAGCAGCCUCAAGGACCAAGAACCAUCUGCGAAAGGACACACACAGGAAAUUCAUAAAAGAAAUCUGAAUGGAUAAAACCAUGAAAAAAAGUAUGCUUCAUUAGUAAUUAAAGAAAGGCAAAUAGAGCUGGAAGCAUUUUUCCCUUAGCAAACCAUAACAGAAAAAAAUAAGACCCAAUAUUGGCAAAGAGACUACUGAAAAAACAUUCCCAUACAUUGCGUGUGGGAGUAUACAUCGGUGCAGGCUUCCUGGAUGACAGUUGGGUGAUAUGUGUCAUGUGGCCUAAAAGCCUCCAUGUCAUUUGACCUACGAAUUCUAUCUUUGGGAAUUUAUCCUAAGAAAAUACUUAAGGAUUUAGUUAGUGAUAAGAUGUUCAUCCCAGCAUUGCAAUGGAGAAAAAUGGGAAGCAAUGGUUUGGUUGGGAAUUUAUUCCUUUUCUGCUGUAACGAAAGUUUGCAAUAGGGGAUUGCUUAAGUAAAUUAUUGUAUCUCCAUCCAGAUGGUGGAGUACCGCGCAGACAUUAAAAGUCAUGUAAAAGAACAUCUGACUGAAAGAAAAAUGCUCCUUGAAUAUUAAAAGGUUGUAAAAAUAGUGCAUGUUAUGUGAUUUCAAUUUUGUUUUUUAAAAUAUGGGUGUAUGCUUGUAUACGUAGAGCAGAUAAAAAAGACGGAAGGCAUACUAAAAAAUGUUGAGUGGUUAUCUUUGUAUGGUGGAACAAAGUCACUGUAAUUUUCAUCUUUGGUUUUUCUGUAAUUUCCAAAUUUUCCACAUUUUGUAUUUCAUAUAAUAUAAUUUAAGAGAUCA